AACGAACGCUGGCGGCAUGCCUAACACAUGCAAGUCGAACGGGAUCCUAGCUUGCUAGGUGAGAGUGGCGGACGGGUGAGUAACACGUGGGAAUCUGCCUUUUGGUUCGGGAUAACCGCGGGAAACUGCGGCUAAUACCGAAUGCCCUCGAGAGAGGAAAGAUUUAUCGCCAGAAAGAGGAGCCCGCGUCCGAUUUAGGUAGUUGGUGGGGUAAAGGCCUACAAGCCGACGAUCGGUAGCUGGUCUGAGAGGAUGAUCAGCCACACUGGGACUGAGAUACGGCCCAGACUCCUACGGGAGCAGCAGUGGGGAAUAUUGGACAAU
rnacentral:rRNA from 1 species